CAGUGAGCAUCAGUGUCGCAGUAGAUGUUAUCACUCAACUCACCACUGAUUUAUAUCAGUUCCGGCUCCGCCCACUAAACAUCUCUCACAUACCACAACACUGUCCCAGGGUAUAUAAAGGUGUUGAUCUCACCUGAGUUUCAUACCUGACCAGUUACUCAGAGGAAAAAGUUGAAAUAUACCGUAACGACUCAAGUCACCUGACAACAUUAACAUCGUAUUUCUGCUUAAUGUCCCUAGCUGUUGAGGGGCAGUCAAUAACGUCAUAACGUUAAAGUCAGACACUAAAUUACCAUCAAAACGUGAGUAACAUCAGUUGUCAUUGAAGCCAGCCAUCUCUCUAAACAAUCCACCUUGAACUAAGAGACAGAGUUACAGUUGGUGAAGACCCUGUGUGAGGACCCACCGUCAGGAUGGUGAAGGGACGAGACCUGCUGGACCUCCUGCACCAUCACCAUACAGACCCGCUGAAGGUGAGGCUAUGGUCCAGUAGUGUCCAUAGUAACAGCAGUGACAGCAGCCGCAGCAACAGUGACAUUAGCAGUCUUGGUUACAGUGACAGGUCAGACAAGGUCAAAGUCACUACUCCCUCGUCAAACAACAAGACCAAGAAACAGAAGAAGAGCGAUCACAAGCACCACCACCUACUGCUAACCAACAGUCUCCUCUCCUACGUGUAUGUUAACCGUUAAUGGCAACUAUUACCUGUUAAACGGGAAGAAGAACAAAUGAAAAAUAGAAUUAUAUGUCAAAAGCAAAACAAAAAUAUUCUUGUGUUGUUUUGUAUUUAUUCUUAGAUUUAAUAAUGACGUACAGUAACAAAACUAACUGUGAUCAUAGGUUAAUAAUAAAUGGUAAGGCUUAUAUGAA